ACAAACGCAUAUCAAGAAGCAAACGAAGCAUCUGUUCAUAACCUGUGCCGUUAUUCAUAAUUAUUAUUUUCUUUUUUAUAUUUUAAUCUUAUUUAAAAUAUUGUUUAUAUAUAUUAUUAUAUUUAUCAUUUUUUUCUAUGGUUUCGUAAUCUUGUUCUAUUUUAUCCCGGUUUUAUUCUACUUGAAAACAUGAUUGAAAUCUCAUCAAAUAUCAAGGAGAAAAAAUUUCAUCCAUUCUCGAAACAAACACGAUCUUUGUCAAAUAUCAUUCCGAAGGAUCACACGAAACGAAAAAGGAGAAACCAGGGAUAGGAUAACCAGAAGCAGGGGUGAUCGAUUAACUUGGGCUCGCUACCAGUUAGUCAGUCAAUCAUUAGGUAAUGAGGCCGUGUUUGGAAGCCAGCGUAACUGGACGUCGAUUGUCCGUAUAAAUGUAUUGCCGUCCGCAUAGAAUAGGGCUGCCGAUCUUAUCGUCACGGUUUCAUGUAAUGCUAAUGGACGCGUGGUAGCCCAAUAUGUACUUUAAACGAAAAGGUUAAUAUGAUAGCGAGAUAAUGCGCGGACAUUAAGGAGCCGGACGAGGAACGGCGGACAAAUUAUGAAGAGAACCGUCUCGAAGAAACGAGAUCUCGUUUGCUGCGAACCCUUCAAGUGGAAUUGGAAACUGAAUGUUCUCGAUUAAAAAUAUGAAAUCGACAAGUUUUUCAAGUUCGCGAAGACGAU